AUUGAACGCUGGCGGCAGGCCUAACACAUGCAAGUCGAACGAGCGGCGGACGGGUGAGUAAUGUCUGGGAAACUGCCUGAUCGAGGGGGCUAACUACUGGAAACGGUGGCUAAUACCGCAUACCAUCGGAUGUACCCAGAUGGGAUUAGCUAGUAGGUGGGGGAAUGGCUCACCUAGGCGACGCUCCCUCGCUGGUCUGAGAGGAUGACCAGCCACACUGGAACGGAGACACGGUCCAGACGCCGACGGGAGGCAGAAGUGGGGAAUAUUGCACAAUGGGCGCAAGCCUGAUGCAGCAAUGCCGCGUGUGUGAAGAAGGCCUUAGGGUUGUAAAGCACUUUCAGUGGGGAGGCGUUACUCGCAGAAGAAGCAACGGCUAACUCCGUGCCAGCAGCCGCGGUAAUUC
rnacentral:rRNA from 1 species